UGCAAGUCGAGCGGACAGAUGGGAGCUUGCUCCCUGAUGUUAGCGGCGGACGGGUGAGUAACACGUGGGUAACCUGCCUGUAAGACUGGGAUAACUCCGGGAAACCGGGGCUAAUACCGGAUGCUUGAUUGAACCGCAUGGUUCAAUUAUAAAAGGUGGCUUUUAGCUACCACUUACAGAUGGACCCGCGGCGCAUUAGCUAGUUGGUGAGGUAACGGCUCACCAAGGCGACGAUGCGUAGCCGACCUGAGAGGGUGAUCGGCCACACUGGGACUGAGACACGGCCCAGACUCCUACGGGAGGCAGCAGUAGGGAAUCUUCCGCAAUGGACGAAAGUCUGACGGAGCAACGCCGCGUGAGUGAUGAAGGUUUUCGGAUCGUAAAACUCUGUUGUUAGGGAAGAACAAGUACCGUUCGAAUAGGGCGGUACCUUGACGGUACCUAACCAGAAAGCCACGGCUAACUACGUGCCAGCAGCCGCGGUAAUACGUAGGUGGCAAGCGUUGUCCGGAAUUAUUGGGCGUAAAGCGCGCGCAGGCGGUUUCUUAAGUCUGAUGUGAAAGCCCCCGGCUCAACCGGGGAGGGUCAUUGGAAACUGGGGAACUUGAGUGCAGAAGAGGAGAGUGGAAUUCCACGUGUAGCGGUGAAAUGCGUAGAGAUGUGGAGGAACACCAGUGGCGAAGGCGACUCUCUGGUCUGUAACUGACGCUGAGGCGCGAAAGCGUGGGGAGCGAACAGGAUUAGAUACCCUGGUAGUCCACGCCGUAAACGAUGAGUGCUAAGUGUUAGAGGGUUUCCGCCCUUUAGUGCUGCAGCAAACGCAUUAAGCACUCCGCCUGGGGAGUACGGUCGCAAGACUGAAACUCAAAGGAAUUGACGGGGGCCCGCACAAGCGGUGGAGCAUGUGGUUUAAUUCGAAGCAACGCGAAGAACCUUACCAGGUCUUGACAUCCUCUGACAACCCUAGAGAUAGGGCUUCCCCUUCGGGGGCAGAGUGACAGGUGGUGCAUGGUUGUCGUCAGCUCGUGUCGUGAGAUGUUGGGUUAAGUCCCGCAACGAGCGCAACCCUUGAUCUUAGUUGCCAGCAUUCAGUUGGGCACUCUAAGGUGACUGCCGGUGACAAACCGGAGGAAGGUGGGGAUGACGUCAAAUCAUCAUGCCCCUUAUGACCUGGGCUACACACGUGCUACAAUGGGCAGAACAAAGGGCAGCGAAGCCGCGAGGCUAAGCCAAUCCCACAAAUCUGUUCUCAGUUCGGAUCGCAGUCUGCAACUCGACUGCGUGAAGCUGGAAUCGCUAGUAAUCGCGGAUCAGCAUGCGCGUUUUU
rnacentral:rRNA from 1 species